rnacentral:rRNA from 1 species
CGGACGGGUGAGUAAUGUCUGGGAAACUGCCUGAUGGAGGGGGAUAACUACUGGAAACGGUAGCUAAUACCGCAUAACGUCGCAAGACCAAAGAGGGGGGACCUUAGGGCCUCUUGCUAUCGGAUGUGCCCAGAUGGGAUUAGCUAGUAGGUGGGGUAACGGCUCACCUAGGCGACGAUCCCUAGCUGGUCUGAGAGGAUGACCAGCCACACUGGAACUGAGACACGGUCCAG